rnacentral:piRNA from 1 species
UGAAAAGACUUUGUAACUUUGGGCUA